GGUGAACGCUGGCGGCGUGCUUAAGACAUGCAAGUCGAACGCAGUCCUCGGACUGAGUGGCGCACGGGUGAGUAACACGUAACUGACCUACCCCCAAGUCGCGAAUAACCAGCCGAAAGGAUGGCUAAUACGUGAUGUGAUGAUCCGCUGUGGCGGAUCAUUAAAGACUUGAUCGCUUGGGGAUGGGGUUGCGUUCCAUCAGCUAGUUGGUAAGGUAAAGGCUUACCAAGGCAAUGACGGAUAGCCGGCCUGAGAGGGUGGCCGGCCACAGGGGCACUGAGACACGGGUCCCACUCCUACGGGAGGCAGCAGUUAGGAAUCUUCCACAAUGGGCGCAAGCCUGAUGGAGCGACGCCGCGUGAGGGAUGAAGGUUCUCGGAUCGUAAACCUCUGAACCAACGACGAAAGACCCGACAAGGGAGAUGACGGUAGUUGGGUAAUAGCACCGGCUAACUCCGUGCCAGCAGCCGCCGUAACAC
rnacentral:rRNA from 1 species